ensembl:lncRNA
GAUGAAUUUGAUGCUGUGUUAGAUCGACACCUGAUUCUUAAUGGGAGAACCUCUGAUUUAGAAGACACCAUACAAAAAGGGUAAAGCUGUAAGGUGCAAUGAAAGAGAUGAAAAGGGUUUAUGAUCCAACUGGAGCCAAAUGUAGAGAGCAGAUCAUCACAGAGACCCAAAAUACCUUAUGCACAGGUCACUGAAAUGAAAUAUGAAGACUUGGAUGGUUGAAACACAUUCUCUUCUCGUUAAUGACUUUGAGCCCUGAGGCCUCAAACAGGAGCCUGCAGACCUUCGGAUUGAUCCCCUCCUGUCUCCUUCAGAACAUUUUAACCACACCGAAGAAAGAAAAUUACAUGGCUUUCGGCAACAUGGUGGUUUUAUUCUGUGGGGCUGUGUUUCAUAAGAGAAGCUUGGCUGUAUGUGAGAGACACCCAGCAGAGAACAGAAGAACAGCCAGAGCACCUCUUAAAAAGUCACACUUUCAUGUUCU